rnacentral:rRNA from 1 species
AGGACGAACGCUUGCGGCGUGCCUAAGAAAUGCAAGUCGAGCGGGGGAGCAAUCCCUAGCGGCGAACGGUCGCGUAACACGUAAGCAACCUGCCCGAAAGACCGGGACAACAGCUCGAAAGGGCUGCUAAUACCGGAUGUGUCCACUUUGCCUCAUGGCUUAGUGAGUAAAUCAUUUAUGGCUUUCGGAGGGGCUUGCGGCCUAUCAGCUAGAUGGCGGUGUAACGGACCACCAUGGCGACGACGGGUAGCUGGU